UGCCUGCUAUCUCUUACCCAUGUCUUUUGAGUACCUUCGUUUCCUCGGCGGGUCCGCCCGCCGAUUGGACAACUUAAACCAUUUGCAGUUGCAAUCAGCGUCUGAAAAAACUUAAUAGUUACAACUUUCAACAACGGAUCUCUUGGUUCUGGCAUCGAUGAAGAACGCAGCGAAAUGCGAUAAGUAGUGUGAAUUGCAGAAUUCAGUGAAUCAUCGAAUCUUUGAACGCACAUUGCGCCCCUUGGUAUUCCAUGGGGCAUGCCUGUUCGAGCGUCAUUUGUACCUUCAAGCUCUGCUUGGUGUUGGGUGUUUGUCUCGCCUCUGCGCGUAGACUCGCCUCAAAACAAUUGGCAGCCGGCGUAUUGAUUUCGGAGCGCAGUACAUCUCGCGCUUUGCACUCAUAACGACGACGUCCAAAAGUACAUCGGCGAGUGAAGCGGCAACAGCUCAAAUUUGAAAUCUGGCGUCUUCGGCGUCCGAGUUGUAAUUUGCAGAGGGCGCUUUGGCAUUGGCAGCGGUCCAAGUUCCUUGGAACAGGACGUCACAGAGGGUGAGAAUCCCGUACGUGGUCGCUAGCCUUUACCGUGUAAAGCCCCUUCGACGAGUCGAGUUGUUUGGGAAUGCAGCUCUAAAUGGGAGGUAAAUUUCUUCUAAAGCUAAAUACUGGCCAGAGACCGAUAGCGCACAAGUAGAGUGAUCGAAAGAUGAAAAGCACUUUGGAAAGAGAGUUAAAAAGCACGUGAAAUUGUUGAAAGGGAAGCGCUUGCAGCCAGACUUGCCUGUAGUUGCUCAUCCGGGUUUCUACCCGGUGCACUCUUCUAUAGGCAGGCCAGCAUCAGUUUGGGCGGUUGGAUAAAGGUCUCUGUCAUGUACCUCUCUUCGGGGAGAACUUAUAGGGGAGACGACAUGCAACCAGCCUGGACUGAGGUCCGCGCAUCUGCUAGGAUGCUGGCGUAAUGGCUGUAAGCGGCCCGUCUUGAAACACGGACCAAGGAGUCUAACAUCUAUGCGAGUGUUUGGGUGUCAAGCCCGAGCGCGUAAUGAAAGUGAACGGAGGUGGGAACCUUUCGGGGUGCACCAUCGACCGAUCCUGAUGUCUUCGGAUGGAUUUGAGUAAGAGCAUA
rnacentral:sRNA from 1 species